CGCUGGCGGCGUGCCUAAUACAUGCAAGUCGAGCGAACUAAGAGGAGUACUUGUACUCUUUGAGGUUAGCGGCGCACGGGUGAGUAACACGUGGGAAACCUACCCUUUAGCGGGGGAUAACAUUCGGAAACGGAUGCUAAUACCGCAUAGAACAUUUGGCUGCAUGGCUGAGUGAGGAAAGGCGCUACGGCGUCACUAAAGGAUGGUCCCGCGGUGCAUUAGCUAGUAGGUAAGGUAACGGCUUACCUAGGCGAUGAUGCAUAGCCGACCUGAGAGGGUGAUCGGCCGCAUUGGGACUGAGACACGGCCCAAACUCCUACGGGAGGCAGCAGUAGGGAAUCUUCGGCAAUGGACGCAAGUCUGACCGAGCAACGCCGCGUGAGUGAAGAAGGUUUUCGGAAUCGUAAAGCUCUGUUGUGAGAGAAGAAUAGUAUGAAGAGGGAAUGCUUCAUAUGUGACGGUAUCUCACCAGAAAGCCACGGCUAACUACGUGCCAGCCGCCGC
rnacentral:rRNA from 1 species